UUCGGAGAAGCGGUCGUCGCGAACGAACCCCACUCCCUUAUCCAUUCUCCCCACUCCAUUCCCCACAUCCCGAAUCCUCCUGGCCGGCGACCUAGAGACCCGAGUGAGGCGGAGUCCGACCGCGGGCAGGUCGCCGCGAUGCUCGCCGACGCGAAGCACUAGCCGGUGUUCUUCGGAUCCGCGCCGCCCGGCUCGAGCUGCCGCGGCGGCCGCGGGCCGCGGCGGCCGCUGAGCAGCCUUCAUCUUCCCCUCCCGUCGUUGCCGAGCUGGCCGACCUCGACGCCAUCGGAAUCCGCCGUCGGCGAGCUGACCGUCCCCGCCGCCAUUAGAGGCCUCCGCCUCGGGCUGCUCCACCCUCUCGAUGCGGCUGCCAUUGCGAGAAGAGCCCCUUUCCGCUCUGGCGGUGAUCCCCUUUGCCGCUGUGGGAGAGGAGUCUCCUCGGCUCCGGCGUCGAUCCAACAAGCGGCAACCAUGGCGGGGUUGCAGCUGCGCGCGGCGCUGCUCGUGACGGCCGGUGACAUCACGGCUUCCGUCCUAGAGCUCCGUCUCCGCCGUUUCGCCUUACACAAGCGCGACGCGGAGGUUCUGGCAUGGCUUCCUGCAUCAACAGCUGAUGGCCAUCCAUGGCCCAGUGCCCUUCGUCGGGGGAGCUGUUGGUGCUCGCGUAGGCGGUGUGCUAGAGGAUGAGUUGCGGCUCGAACAAGAUCUGGGGAGGUCGGCGGCUUAGUCUUCCAUUUCCCCCCACGAUCGAGCCAGCAGGAACUGCUACUGUUGCUCAUGUGGAAAAAGGCCGGACCUGGUUGGUGGGGGUGUUCUCCUCCCGAACGAGUCGUACUCGUUUGAUCGAUCACCCUCCCGUCCCAAAUGUGACGUUCGGUCUCCGGUCUACCCAGACCGAACGGCGCGCGUUAUCGGGGUCCUUUUUUAUGGACCAAAAGAGACCCCGAAGCACUAGAGCUGGGCCAGGAAGUGGACGAGGAGGCCACAAGCCCCCUAGCUGCGCCCUACCCCCGAGGCGCUAGCUCGGGGCUUGUGGGCCCCUUGGCACCUCCUUGACAUGAGACCGAUGCCAAAAAUUCUUAUAAAUACAUAAACCUCCGAAAAGAACUCUAGAUCGGAAGUUCCGCCACCGCAAGCCUCUAUAUCCAUGAAAAACCAAUCGGGGCCUAUUCCGACACCCUAUCGGAGGGGGAAAUCAUCAUCGGAGUCCAUCUUCAUCAUCCCGAUGGUCUCCAUGACGAGGCGGGAGUAGGUUACCCUCGGGGCUGAGGGUAUGUACAAUAGCUAUGUGUUUGAUCUCUCUCCCUUGUGUUCUUGAUUUGGCACGAUCUUGAUGUACCACGAGCUUUGUUACUAUAGUUGGAUCAUAUGGUGUUUCUCCAUCUCUUUCUUCUUGCUAUGAAUUGAGUUUUACCUCUGAGGUUUCACUUU